CCGCCUUCUUGGGAGCAUCUUUCUCUGACUUAUUUUCUUUCUUUUGCUUCUUCGCAGGUUUGUUAUUCUUCUUUCAAGUAGAUUUUCUCUUGAAAGUAGAUGCCUGCUCCACAGUAAGAAUAGUGCCCCUUGAACUUUUUAAGGUCCCCUCAAUGGUCACCAAUAAAUUCAGUAAUUCAGAUAAAGUACUAUCAAUCUUAUUCAC
rnacentral:lncRNA from 1 species